rnacentral:rRNA from 1 species
ACUCAAAGGAAUUGACGGGGACCCGCACAAGCAGCGGAGCAUGUGGUUUAAUUCGAAGCAACGCGAAGAACCUUACCAGGGCUUGACAUGCCCCUGAUCGGUGUAGAGAUACACAAUUACCUUCGGGUACAGGGGACACAGGUGGUGCAUGGUUGUCGUCAGCUCGUGUCGUGAGAUGUUGGGUUAAGUCCCGCAACGAGCGCAACCCUUGCCUUUAGUUGCCAUCAUUAAGUUGGGCACUCUAGAGGGACUGCCGAUGAUAAAUCGGAGGAAGGUGGGGAUGACGUCAAAUCAUCAUGCCCUUUAUGUCCUGGGCUACACACGUGCUACAAUGGUCGGUACAACGAGAAGCGACAUAGUGAUAUGAAGCCAAUCUCUAAAAGCCGAUCCCAGUUCGGAUUGUAGGCUGCAACUCGCCUACAUGAAGUCGGAGUUGCUAGUAAUCGCGGAUCAGAAUGCCGCGGUGAAUGCGUUCCCGGGUCUUGCACACACCGCCCGU